rnacentral:lncRNA from 1 species
GUGGGCAUGGUGUGGGUGCAUCACACGUCACACAAUCACACCCCGUCGAUUCACAUAAAAUCCCACUUGUGCUAUCCAACCCCUAAUUGUUCCUGAAACAGGUGGACAUUUUGAGUUGAACUGCUGCAUUCUUCCUGGGAAUCCAGACGUCACAGAGCAUUGUGCUGUAUACAACAUACAAAACUCUGGAACAUCAUGAAUGUGAAUACGACAAUGAAGCUUGGUCAAUCGACAAGCCUUUUGAAUGGCUACAAGGCAGACAUCUGUCCAGCACAGCCGUUUUACACUUCGAGUAAGCCUGCCCUCUACGAGCAGGAUGUUAUAGUUGAGAACCCGGAUCACGAUGCCAAGUGGUCAUCACCUACGAUCAGUUUCCAUGAGAAUGUCGAGGAUCUCCUCAGCGCCAUCCAGCUGAUCAAGCUGCGAGUGAUGUCUUUCGAAGACAAACCAAGCGAGGGGGGUGCAGCAGCAGUUUGGCCCGCGGGGGCUCUUAUCCUUGCUGGGUUAACACCCUCCGGACAAAGAAAAGCACUCAAAGACCUUUCCGAGCAACUGGGGCUCGAUUUGGCAAUGGAGCAAUGGUCCUACGCUUUGGUCCAGCGCUCACGCAAGGUCGGAACCGCAACCCAUCCUUGCUAUGAGAGGGGCCUUUUCGGUAACCCAGAUCCCUCCAAAAUAAUGAGGCCUGAGACCUUGACUGCCCUCAAAUCUCUAGAGAAGCUGGGGAAGCAAUCCACCAAUGUGAGUAUGAGUGGAGCCAACGGAUACCUUCGUUUUUACGAAACCUUCGGUUCACACUUUGUGUCCAGGGUUGACGUUGGCGACUCGAUCUUCCAGGUUUUUGCUUUUGCAGAAACUGAAUACAAAAAAGUCGUCGAUGUCUACACCGACCGUCCCGAUGACCUGAGCGGUCUCGCUGCCCAGUCAUUUGCCCUGUUCACAACCCCUUGUAAUGACGCCGGUUACGGCCCGCACGGCAGCCAUCAGCAACAUCUGCAUCAUCAGCAAAGACCCCUUAAUGGAGACGUCUCUCAAAGAUGGGCUCUGGUUUGAUAGUACAUAUGCUGGAACAAACAGCAUCUUUGCACCAUUCCUCCGCUCUGAUGCAGUGAAUGUCAACACCCUCUUCAAGAAGGUCGUCGCUAUAUCAGUCGAGUUGGCUUCUCUUGGAGUCUUCGCCGAGUACUACCGCAUGCUGAUAUGGCGCCGCAUCUUCAAGGGCGCCAUGUAUACUAAAUACGUGAAUGGUUCAGGGGUGGCUCCUCACUUCAGCAACAACUGCCCCUAUGAUCUGAAGUCGGUGUUCAAGGGUUCCAACCUGAUAAGUGGUGACGGCCUUCUCUCUACACUUGCUACACCUACCGUCAAUGUCUGGCAGGAGUUGAUUGAACUGGAUAUGAUCAAAUUGCAGUUCCCAGACCUGGUGAAGACCUUCAGUGUGUUUGCAAGUGGAAUCCAGAUACCAUCCCCCAACGACAAUACAGCCAUUGAUAUUCCUGGUACGUGUACAGUUACGCUGCUUGGACACGUGAUCUCAAGUGGGGGUUCUGGGCCUGUGCCUCCUAAUCUUCGCCUCCAAGGUUCCUCAUUUAAAGAAAUAGAGAGUCGUCUCUUUUGUGGUGAGUUUUACGGGGGUCUACAGAUCAGCAGUUGUGAAGGUGGUGGUGAUCUCUACGUGGUCGUGAAUGGCCUGAUGUUCCAGGAAAGCAAAGGAAAGGUUUCAGUGGUACACGAUGUCAGAGAGCCUCCUACAAUGAAUGUUCUCGCUGAGCACCUGACCGAUAUCCAGUUUGCCCUGAUUGCGGCGGAGUCCCGUCUCAACUUUUUACUGGCAAGCCCCAAUCUUCAGUGUCAAAGUCUACAGCUCGUGAAGCGGUUUUUGCUUUGGCUUGCUGGGGUGGCAGGCAGUCACUACCAGUACCAGGACAGCCAACUGGUUGCCUUAGAGGCCAGGGCAAUGUACCUUGCAAAUGUGGCCUUCAACAGCCAACGGACUGGGCCGCCUGUUCCUUAUCUGCGGUAUGAAGCAUACAAGGAUGUAGUGAAGAACAUCCAGAAUGUCCUUCUUACAGCUUCCGAUCAGUUGAAAGACUACCAGAACAGAAUUAUGCUGAGGAAGGCUGAGGAACGUGCGGUGGACAGAGAUAAGGCCCUCAACGAAAACAUCAUCAGAUCUGGGGGGGGGGGGGGGGGGACAUCAGCACACAGGCCAAUUACCAGCAGAACAUGGAACACAUGUUUUCCAGUAUCAGCAAGGAAAAAGAGAAAGAGAUGGACACGGCCAUCCAGCAAGUAGCCAAGUUGAACGUCAGCCUAGUCGCGCAGCGCACUGCUGUUGAAGAAGCCAUCAUCAACUACCAAGAUGCUGUCAGUGACUGGCAGAAGCAGGAGAUAAUCAAGGCUGCCAUUAACAUAGCCUCCAACAUAUUUUCCCUUGCCUUCACGAUGGCUGCACCAGCAACGUCAAUUCUUGCUCUCGAGAGUCUUGGUAAAACAGUGCAGAAAAUACAGAAAUUAGUCCAGGUGUUUGAUGCCGUCAUCAAGACCUACAAAUCAAUAAAGGCCCUUCCCUCAAACCCACAGCAGGUUGUUUGUGCCUUGAAGGACAUCGGUCCAAAUGGCCUGGAUAUGCCUUCCUCACUCGAAUGGGAUGAAAUGAAGGUCAACUUUGAUGCCACUCUCUCAACUGGACCAGACAUUGGUGCAAAGAUCUCACUUUCCGCUGCCUUUGCAGUCCUUGUCCUUCGUGGUAAAAUGCUGCUGCAAGCUCAGAAAACCGUUCAGGAAAUUGCGGCAGAUCUGUCGUCAGCUCAGCAGCGAAUCACACUCCAUAACAACCAAAAGAGGCGACUUGAUGAUCUGAAGGCCAACCUGAAUGCGAAACCAGAGGAGCUUGAUGUCAGUAAAAUUGACCUGAUUGGGCUGUCCGGUCAGCUGGUUUUCUUUGAGCGUCAGAUGCUGAUGACUUUGGCGUCCACCCUGGUCAUACAGGACAGGGCCUUGCAGUAUGAGUAUCUUCGUCCACCGACUCUAAUCAAUUCCUUCACGAUGCUUGAUCUGCAGCUUGCCAUAUUCAAUCAGUCACAAAGUAUCAACCAAGGAAUGACAGCUCAACCACUACCAACACAUCACGACCUCCCAAUCAUAUAUGAAAUCCAUGGUGUCAAACCGGAAAGCAUCAUCAAUGGAAAGCACUUCACAUUUAACAUUUCUUGCAACAUCGCGAGUUUGCACCAUACAACUACGUCCGUGUGAAGAGUGUCGGGGGGG